rnacentral:lncRNA from 1 species
UAUUAAAACUUUUAGGGGGACCGACCAUCUCUAGAGCAAAUGGUAAAGGAUUUGGUGGUUGGUAUCCGAGAUCUUAAGUUCGAAUCCUAAUUGAUUCACAUUUCCAGCUAAGUUUAUUUCUAAAUAAAAUAAACGAAACGGGUAGUGUGCUACAUAUCUCUCAAAAAAAAAAAAAAAAACUUUUAGGGGAAACUUCAAAAACCUUUCUGUGGUUUCGCACUUUCUCACUUUAGUACCCUAUGGUUUAAAGUGUAUCAAGUUAGUGCCCUGUGGUUUCGCACCUUCUCACUUUAGUACCUUAUGGUUUCAAGUGUUUCAAGUUAGUAUAAUGUGGUUUCGCACUUUCUCACUUUAGUACCAUGUGGUUUAAUAUUUCGUUAAAUUAUAUAUCCCGAAAUGGAUAAUAAAAAAAGAAAAUUAAAACCACAGGGUACUAACUUGAUACAAAAAUAAAACAAUAUGGGACUAACUUGAUACACUUGAAACCACAAGGUACUAAAGUGAGAAAGUACGAAAUCAUAAGGUAGUAACUUGAUACAUUUGAAACCACAUAGUACUAAAAUAAGAAAGUGCGAAACUACAGAAGAGGUAUUUGAAAUUUCUCCAAACUUUUAUAUCUACGUACAAAGUACA